rnacentral:rRNA from 1 species
CAGCAGCCGCGGGAAUACGUAGGUGGCGAGCGUUGUCCGGAAUUAUUGGGCAUAAAGGGAGCGCAGGCGGACAUAUAAGUCCAUCUUAAAAGUGCGGGGCUCAACCCCGUGAGGGGAUGGAAACUGUAUGCCUUGAGUGCAGGAGAGGAAAGCGGAAUUCCCAGUGUAGCGGUGAAAUGCGUAGAUAUUGGGAGGAACACCAGUGGCGAAGGCGGCUUUCUGGGCUGUAACUGACGCUGAGGCUCGAAAGCCAGGGGAGCGAACGGGAUUAGAUACCCCCGUAGUCCCUGUCUCUUAUACA